rnacentral:rRNA from 1 species
CAGCAGCCGCGGGAAUACGUAGGGUGCGAGCGUUAAUCGGAUUUACUGGGCGUAAAGCGUGCGUAGGCGGCUAAUUGAGUCGGAUGUGAAAUCCCCGAGCUUAACUUGGGAAUUGCAUUCGAUACUGGUUAGCUAGAGUGUGGGAGAGGAUGGUAGAAUUCCAGGUGUAGCGGUGAAAUGCGUAGAGAUCUGGAGGAAUACCGAUGCGAAGGCAGCCAUCUGGCCUAACACUGACGCUGAGGUACGAAAGCAUGGGGAGCAAACAGGAUUAGAUACCCGAGUAGUCCCUGUCUCUUAUACA